UUGACAUCUAUCAAAAAUAUCUUUGAAUUGAAAAUUGAAGGGCUGAAUGUUCUGUUUGUUGAAUAAAUUUUUUUUUUAUUUUAUAUGUGAACUAAAUAAAUCUCAAGUUAUAUUAUGAAUCUCCGAGAUUAUACAAAGAAAUCCUUGUUAAAUAUUAAUAACUCGAAAAUUGUUGAUGAUGACACGUAUCUAAAACUUUUAGAAAACUGUUUUUCUGUUCUUUGUGGUGCUGAAGAAUUACACAAUAAUGCAUCACUACAUGGUUCAAAACCUGACCUUAUAAAGGAAUUGUAUUCAAACCUUCUCAUUGCUACUGCCGAAUUUGUUAGAAAUGGUUUGAGUGAAGAGGAAGUAAAACGGUAUUUAUUCGAGGAAUGUAAUAUUAUUGAGACCAGAUUGAAUAUUUAUGUCAAUUUAUAUUCUAAUCGUAAGAAGGGUAUUGAAAUUACCCUAAUGAAUAUAGGACGUCAGGCUCCCCAUAUUGUGGAUGUUGACUGGAAAAUUGACUUUGUCAUUAAGUCAAGUAGCUUGGAACAAGAUGAAGGUCCUCUAUUUCGAAUAGGUUUCACAAUGGAAAAGUUUGAUGAAGAAGAGAUGUGUAAAAAAAAUCAACAUCUGAAUUUCAUUUGUAAUAGUCAGGAAAUGCAAGAUCUCAUCUACAAACUAAAAGAUGCCGUAAAACAUUGUGAGAGGGUGGCUGCUGAACUCUGAAGAAUCAGCUUAUAUUUUUAUCAAGUGAAGAAGGUAUGCUUUUUUGUAAUUUUUUGAAACGAAUUUUCCGCCUAUUUUAUUUUUUGCAGUUUGCUUCAAAUAAAAGAGAAAAGUCAUACUAUUUGAGUCUUGUGAGGGAAAUGUAAUAAUAGAGAUGGCGAAACCUACCCUUGAAUCGGGGAUAGCUUAAAUCAGUGUUGAAUAUAACCAAUUUCUUCCGAGAUAUAAAAGGAUGAUAUUAUAAAAGUGAAAGAUUAUUUAUGUUUGAAGGAUAUAAAUAUACAAUAAUUAUCGACCCAGA